UACGUAGGGGGCGAGCGUUAUCCGGAUUUAUUGGGCGUAAAGAGCUCGUAGGCGGUUUGGUAAGUCGGGUGUGAAAUCUCCACGCUCAACGUGGAGGGGCCACUCGAUACUGCCAUGACUCGAGUCCGGUAGAGGAGUGUGGAAUUCCCGGUGUAGCGGUGAAAUGCGCAGAUAUCGGGAGGAACACCCGUAGCGAAGGCGGCACUCUGGGCCGGAACUGACGCUGGGGAGCGAAAGCGUGGGGAGCAAACAGG
rnacentral:rRNA from 1 species